rnacentral:rRNA from 1 species
UACGUAGGUGGCAAGCGUUAUCCGGAAUUAUUGGGCGUAAAGAGCGCGCAGGUGGUUGAUUAAGUCUGAUGUGAAAGCCCACGGCUUAACCGUGGAGGGUCAUUGGAAACUGGUCGACUUGAGUGCAGAAGAGGGAAGUGGAAUUCCAGGUGUAGCGGUGAAAUGCGUAGAGAUAUGGAGGAGCACCAGUGGCGAAGGCGGCUUCCUGGUCUGUAACUGACACUGAGGCACGAAAGCGUGGGGAGCAAACAGGAUUAGAUACCCCCGUA